rnacentral:rRNA from 1 species
UACGGAGGGUGCAAGCGUUAAUCGGAAUUACUGGGCGUAAAGCGUGCGCAGGCGGCUUUGCAAGACAGAUGUGAAAUCCCCGGGCUUAACCUGGGAACUGCAUUUGUGACUGCAUGGCUGGAGUGCGGCAGAGGGGGAUGGAAUUCCGCGUGUAGCAGUGAAAUGCGUAGAUAUGCGGAGGAACACCGAUGGCGAAGGCAGUCCCCUGGGCCUGCACUGACGCUCAUGCACGAAAGCGUGGGGAGCAAACAGG